GCCUAUUUAAUAUAAAAAGUAUAUUUGGCUUCCAACCAGAAAGUCUAGGAAUUCACCCUAGAACAGGCA
rnacentral:tRNA from 1 species